rnacentral:rRNA from 1 species
UACGGAGGGUGCAAGCGUUGCUCGGAAUUACUGGGCGUAAAGCGUACGCAGGCUGUUCGUUAAGUCGGGUGUGAAAGCCCGGGGCUCAACCCCGGAAUUGCGCCCGAAACUGACGAGCUUGAGUGCGGGAGAGGGAAGCGGAAUUCCUGGUGUAGAGGUGAAAUUCGUAGAUAUCAGGAGGAACACCGGUGGCGAAAGCGGCGUUCUGGACUGCAACUGACACUGAGAGACGAAAGCCAGGGGAGCAAACGGG